CAGUGGGGAAUAUUCGGACAAUGGGCGAAAGCCUGAUCCAGCCAUGCCGCGUGUGUGAAGAAGGCCUUUUGGUUGUAAAGCACUUUAAGUGGGGAGGAAAAGCUUAUGGUUAAUACCCAUAAGCCCUGACGUUACCCACAGAAUAAGCACCGGCUAACUCUGUGCCAGCAGCCGCGGUAAUACAGAGGGUGCAAGCGUUAAUCGGAAUUACUGGGCGUAAAGCGCGCGUAGGUGGUUAUUUAAGUCAGAUGUGAAAGCCCCGGGCUUAACCUGGGAACUGCAUCUGGUACUGGAUAACUAGAGUAGGUGAGAGGGGAGUAGAAUUCCAGGUGUAGCGGUGAAAUGCGUAGAGAUCUGGAGGAAUACCGAUGGCGAAGGCAGCUCCCUGGCAUCAUACUGACACUGAGGUGCGAAAGCGUGGGUAGCAAACAGGAUUAGAUACCCUGGUAGUCCACGCCGUAACGAUGUCUACCAGUCGUUGGGUCUUUUAAAGACUUAGUGACGCAGUUAACGCAAUAAGUAGACCGCCUGGGGAGUACGGCCGCAAGGUUA
rnacentral:rRNA from 1 species